rnacentral:rRNA from 1 species
CACGGGGGGAGCAAGCGUUGCUCGGAAUCACUGGGCGUAAAGGGUGCGUAGGCGGCCGCGCAAGUCUGGCGUGAAAGCCCCGGGCUCAGCCCGGGAAGGGCGCUCGAAACGGCGCGGCUCGAGUGCCGGAGGGGAGAGUGGAAUUCCUGGUGUAGCGGUGAAAUGCGUAGAUAUCGGGAAGAACACCCGUGGCGAAGGCGGUUCUCUGGGACGGUACUGACGCUGAGACGCGAAAGCGUGGGGAGCGAACAGG